rnacentral:rRNA from 1 species
CCCUGAACAAGGGAGUGAAAUAGUUCCUGAAACCAUACGCUUACAAGCUGUAGGAGCCCUUCGGGGUGACUGCGUGCCUUUUGCAUAAUGAGCCUACGAGUUACUCGUAUCUAGCAAGGUUAAGUCAUUAAUUGACGCAGCCGAAGCGAAAGCAAGUCUGAAUAGGGCGUUUUAGUUAGGUGCGGUAGACGCGAAACCUUGUGAUCUACCCAUGACCAGGUUGAAGUUGCAGUAACAUGCAAUGGAGGACCGAACCAGUAAACGUUGAAAAGUUUUUGGAUGAGUUGUGGGUAGGGGUGAAAGGCUAAUCAAACUUGGAGAUAGCUCGUACUCCCCGAAAUGCAUUUAGGUGCAGUCUCGGAAUUGAGUGUCAUAGAGGUAGAGCUACUGAUAAGGCUAGGGGGCUUCACCGCCUACCAACCCUUGAUAAACUCCGAAUGCUAUGACAUAUGUCCGGGAAUGAGGGCAUGGGUGCUAAGGUCCAUGUCCGAGAGGGAAACAACCCAGACUAUCAGCUAAGGUCCCCAAGUGUACGCUAAGUUGAUCUAACGAAGUUGGAUUGCAUUGACAGCUAGGAUGUUGGCUUGGAAGCAGCCAUUCAUUUAAAGAGUGCGUAACAGCUCACUAGUCGAGCGAUCCGGCGUGGAUAAUAAUCGGGCAUAAGCGUGCCACCGAAGCUAUAGACUCGAAAGAGUGGUAGGGGAGCAUUCCAGUUGCGUCGAAGUCGUACCGUAAGGUGCGGUGGAGCGUCUGGAAAAGAAAAUGUAGGAAUGAGUAACGAUAAAGCAGGCGAGAAACCUGCUCACCGAAAGACUAAGGUUUCCUGAACAACGCUAAUCGGUUCAGGGUCAGUCGGGACCUAAGGCGAACCCGAAAGGGGUAGUCGAUGGACAACUGGUUAAUAUUCCAGUACUGACUGUAACAGUGAUGGGGUGACGAAGGAGUGAAAGCACCGCGAACAGACGGAAUUGUUCGUUGAAGAGUGUAGGUAUACGAGAGGUAGGCAAAUCCGCCUCUUGUGCUGAAGCUUGAUAGUACCACAAACCUUCGGGCGAGUGGAUAGUGUGCCUAAUCCGACUUCCAAGAAAAACCUCUAAACUUAUGUUGCAGCCACCCGUACCAUAAACCGACACAGGUAGUCGAGGAGAGAAUCCUAAGGUGCUCGAGUGAUUCGUGGUUAAGGAACUAGGCAAAAUAGACCUGUAACUUCGGGAGAAAGGUCCCUCGUAGCAAUAUGAGGCGCAGUGAAAAGAUCCAGGCGACUGUUUAGCAAAAACACAGGACUCUGCUAAGUCGAAAGACGAUGUAUAGGGUCUGACACCUGCCCGGUGCCGGAAGGUUAAGUGGAGGUGUUAUCAACUUCGGUUGAGAAGCACUGAAAUGAAGCCCCGGUAAACGGCGGCCGUAACUAUAACGGUCCUAAGGUAGCGAAAUUCCUUGUCGGGUAAGUUCCGACCUGCACGAAUGGUGUAACGAUCUGGAUACUGUCUCAACCACGAGCUCGGUGAAAUUGUAGUCGCGGUGAAGAUGCCGCGUACCCGUAGCGGGACGGAAAGACCCCGUGCACCUUUACUAUAGCUUCACAUUGACAUUGGAUAAAAGAUGUGUAGGAUAGGUGGGAGACUAUGAAGCUUGGUCGCUAGAUCAGGUGGAGUCGUCCUUGAAAUACCACCCUUCUUUUAUUUGAUGCCUAAUCUGGUUAAACGGAAACAGUGUGUGGUGGGUAGUUUGACUGGGGUGGUCGCCUCCAAAAGAGUAACGGAGGCUUUCAAAGGUGUCCUCAGCACGGUUGGUAAUCGUGCGUAGAGUGCAAUAGCAUAAGGACGCUUGACUGUAAGACCGACAAGUCGAGCAGGUAGGAAACUAGGAUAUAGUGAUCCGGUGGUUCCGUAUGGAAGGGCCAUCGCUCAAAGGAUAAAAGGUACGCCGGGGAUAACAGGCUGAUCCCUCCCAAGAGCUCACAUCGACGGAGGGGUUUGGCACCUCGAUGUCGGCUCGUCACAUCCUGGGGCUGGAGAAGGUCCCAAGGGUUGGGCUGUUCGCCCAUUAAAGUGGCACGCGAGCUGGGUUCAGAACGUCGCGAGACAGUUCGGUCCCUAUCUGCUAUGGGCGUUAGAAAUUUGAGAGGACCUGACUCUAGUACGAGAGGACCGAGUUGGACGAACCUCUAGUGUACCUGUUGUGACGCCAGUUGCAUCGCAGGGUAGCUAUGUUCGGAAGGGGUAAGCACUGAAAGCAUCUAAGUGCGAAACCUGCCUCAAGAUGAGAUUUCUUUUAAGGAUCGUUCGAGACCAGGACGUUGAUAGGUUACAGGUGUAAAGGCAGUGAUGUCAUAGCCGAGUAAUACUAAUUAUCCGUAGCAUUCUAUCUA